GAGCGGUGCUGGGUAAGCGUGGCUGUUUCUUUGUUUGUCAGCUUUUAUCAUAGCCAUUAAUGCAAGCUGGUUUGAUUUGUUUAGCCUCCCUUGCUGUGCCUCCAACUUCUGGACCAAUUUGUUCGGUUGUUUGCUGCCGGGAAGCUGCGCUCCGUAGGUGAACUUGUGGAUCUGUUUAUCUGGCCGUGUGGUAAUUUACAGGUAAGCAGCUACCAUAAGUCAUAGUUUUUAUCAGCAGUGGUAUUAAUAAUCUACUUUAUUUUUUAGCCUCCUGCCGAGUCCCUGACAACUAUUCUAUUUGGAUGUACACUCGCUGCUGUUUUGCCUACGAUGAAUUGUUUUAAAAGAUUUGUAUGAACUUUCCCCCGUUGCCGGGAGCAUCGAUGGCACUACGACCGGGAUAAAAAGCAAUAUUGUAGUGCUAUUGUAUCACUGUUUUACUCGUAUUGUUUCAUUUUUUUUCUUUCUUUUAGGGACUGAGGCUUCUGUGGUGGCGGUGGUGAUCCCUGGUGGCGGUGUCUUGUCUCGUGUGUUUUGUGGAACACCCCUUUUUUUGUGUGUGUGUGUUUGCCGUGUCUUUGUAGUGUCCAGGGUGAUCCCUUUUUUUCACUGGAUGUUGCCCCUUUCCUCACUACUCUCCCCCCACUGGUAAGCCUCAGUUUCCUUUGAAAUUUAAACAUUUUAUAAUCAACUUUAUUAAAAAGACAUUCACUGUUUUAACUAUUCAAUUUCA